CCUACGGGAGGCUGCAGUGGGGAAUAUUGCGCAAUGGGCGAAAGCCUGACGCAGCGACGCCGCGUGAGGGAUGAAGGUCUUCGGAUCGUAAACCUCUGUCAGCAGGGAAGAACGGUCACUGUGCUAAUCAGCAGUGAAUUGACGGUACCUGCAAAGGAAGCACCGGCUAACUCCGUGCCAGCAGCCGCGGUAAUACGGAGGGUGCGAGCGUUAAUCGGAAUUACUGGGCGUAAAGCGCUCGUAGGCGGUAUGUCAAGUCAAGGGGGAAAUCCCCGCGCUCAACGUGGGAACUGCCUUGAAACUGGCAAACUGGAGUUUGUGAGAGGAUAGUGGAAUGCCAGGUGUAGGAGUGAAAUCCGUAGAUAUCUGGAGGAACAUCAGUUGCGAAGGCGACUAUCUGGCACAUAACUGACGCUGAGGAGCGAAAGCGUGGGUAGCAAACAGGAUUAGAUACCCGAGUAGUC
rnacentral:rRNA from 1 species